rfam:Candidatus Parcubacteria bacterium 4484_255 ex4484_255_scaffold_717, whole genome shotgun sequence.
UAGAGAAUUAAUUAGAGCAUAUGGUGGAUGCCUAGACACCAAAAGCCGAUGAAGGACGUAGCAGCCUGCGAUAAGCCUCGGGGAGGCGGCAAGCAACCUUUGAUCCGAGGAUUUCCGAAUGGGGAAACCUAGCGUUACAAAACAGCGCUGCACACCGUUUCACAGUGAAUUCAAAAAUCAAAAAUCAAAGUGCAAAAAUAAUAAGAAAAUUUACAAGAAACAAGAUGCAAUAACCAAACAAUAGUCAAUAAAUCAAUGACCGAAUAAUCAAACGGUUUGAUUAUUGAAUAUUGGAAUUUGGAAUUUGUUUGUAUUUUGUAUCUUGGUUAUUGGUUGUUUCAAAUAAUUUUGAUUUUUACAUUUUACAUUUUGAAUUUACCGCGAAGCGGUGUGGGGGUACCCGGGGAAGUGAAACAUCUCAGUACCCGGAGGAAAAGAGAGAAACCACCGCGCCUCACUAUCGUUCGGCACGAAUGUCUAAUAUCUAAUGUCUAAUUUCUAAUAAAUGUUUAAUGUCAAAAUGUCCAAUGUCUAAUUAUUUUAGUCACUUGGUUAUUAAGUCAUUGGGAUUUUAUUAGUCAUUAGGAAUUAGGAUUUAGAAAUUCCUGUGACGAGCGGUAGCGAGGCACGGUGAUAUUUCCUUAGUAGUGGCGAGCGAAAGGGAAACAGUCUAAACUCUAUAGAAUCUUAGUUUUAUAAGAGUCUUAUCUUCGGAUAUUUCUUUUAUUUAAUGAAAGGUAGUAAAGCCAAAAUAUUCUAUAAAGUGUUGUGGGGUAACUAAUGUUUUGUUUUUUACUGAACAGAGUUAGGAUUUAAAUUUUUAGUCCAAUAGCAUGGAAUUGCUAACCAUAGAGGGUGAAAGUCCUGUAGAUUAAAAAAAUUUAAAUUUUAAUAAUUAGUUAUGCCCGAGUAAUGCCAAACUCGUGAAAUUUGGUAUGAAUCAAGGCGGACUAUCGCCUAAGACUAAAUACUUUUGGUGAUCGAUAGUGAACUAGUACCGUGAGGGAAAGGUGAAAAGUAGCCCGGUUAGGGCAAUGAAAAGUACCUGAAACCAUAUGCUAACAAAGAGUCAGAGCCUUGUGCUUCGCACAAGGAAAUUCAAAGCACGAAGCACGAAAUCCCAAACAAUAUCAAAAUCCUAAUGUUUUAAAUUCAAAACAAAUUCGAGAAAUUUCUGUUUUGGUCAUUUGGAUUUAGAAUUUAAGAUUUGUUUAGGGUUUCGUAUUUAGAAUUUUGGAUUUUCUCGCGCGGAGCGCGAGGUAGGGUGAGUCUGUCUUAAUUGACAGAGGAGGCCCGAACCCGUUGACCGUACAACAUCAUGGGAUGAGCCGUGGAUAGGGGUAAAAAGCCAAUCGAACUCAGUGAUAGCUGGUUCUCCCCGAAAUAGCUUUAGGGCUAGCCCGUUCUUUACUCUCUGGGGGUAGAGCUACUGGA